rnacentral:lncRNA from 1 species
AAGCUUUUGCUUGUCAAAAUCAACAUAUGGUCAACUAAUCUACACCAACUACCACUAAUACAUUGGAACUUACAAAACUAAACUUGUACACAUAAGUAAAGCUGGUUAACAGCUCAAUCACAUUAGAAAUACAUCAAACUUCUACCUAAUAUAGUUCAAAAUAAACCAAAAUAAGUCACAUUAACUAAAAUAACAAAAUAAACAACAAAAUAAACUGUUGCACUUGGCUCGGCAGCUUCUGGUCUUGGCCUGCUCUGCUUGGUAUGAUGACUAGUGCAUGAGCUGCAUGGAGGGCCACAUUCUAACACUCCUCCUUGGUCUCCGUGCUACUAAUUCCGAGUUCUUUCCUUAACUUAAUGAACCUUGAAGCAUUAAGGGCCUUUGUGAAAAUAUCAGUAACUUGUUCCUCUGAAUUGCAAUCAAUCAGCUCUACCUCUCGAGCUUGUUCCAUCUCCCUUACAACAUGCAGUUUAAUAUUGAAGUGCUUGGUUCUACCAUGGAAGAUAGGGUUCUUUGCAAUUGCAGCAGCAGACGUUUUAUCACAAAAGAUCUCUAUUGCUUCCCUUUGAUGCAGGUUCAAGUCAGCUAAAAUCUUCCUUAGCCAAAUGGCUUGAUUAACAGCAUUAGCAGUAGCAACAUACUCAGCUUCUGCUGUUGAUUGAGUAACUAUCGAUUGCUCCUUGGAACUCUAGCAAAACACAGCUGAACCAAGGGUAAAAGCAUACCCUGUGGUGCUUUUCAUAUCAUCCAAGGAACCAACCCAAUCACUGUCAGUGUAUCCCACUAAUUUCAAUCUUUUAGUAUUGCCAAACUGAAGUCCAUAGUUUAGAGUCCCUUUGAUGUAUCUCAGUACCCUUUUUGCUACUUGAUAAUGCUUUUUGUUGCAACAAUGCAUGAAUCUUGACAGUAGACUUGUAGCAAACAUAAUGUUUGGUCUUGAUGCAGUAAAACACAGCAAACAGCCUACCAAACUUCUGUAGGUGCAUUCACUAACCUGCUCAUGAUCUUCUUGGCUCGAUAGCUCUGAUCCAAUAGCUGUUGGAGUACUUGUUAGUUUGCAGUUCUCCACUGAGAACUUGCUCAGGAUCUUCAUGGAAAAUGUCUUUUGGCUUAAGAAGAUUCCAUUUGUAGUUUGAAAUACUUCCAAUCCUAAAAAGUAUGUCAUUUUUCCCAAAUCAGACAUCUCAAACAUUUCCAUCAUUUUGGCUUUGAAAUUAGCCAACAUUCUUUGAUCUCCUCCUAUGAACAAACGAUCACCAACAUACAGGGACACAAUGAGCUGUGUUUUAGCUUGUCUCUUCUUGAUAUACAAGGUUGGCUCACUAGAGCUCCUUUCAAAUCCCAAACUAAUUACGUAACUGUCAAUCCUGCUAUACCAGGCCCCUGGUGCCUGUUUUAGGCCAUACAAAGCCUACUUCAAUCUGUACACCAUGUGUUCUUUACCAGCUACUUCAAAACCUUGUGGCUGGUCAAUGUAUAUUUCUUCUUCAAGGAAACUAUUUAGAAAAGCAGACUUUGCAUCAAGCUGAUGAAUCUUCCACUACAUCUAUGCUGCUAAGGCAACUAGUAGCCUGAUAGUGUCAAGCCUAGCCACUGGUGCAAAUGUUUCCAAGUAGUCCAGGCCAUAUUUUUGGUUGAACCUUUGACAACAAGCCUGGCCUUGAGUUUAUUCAAGCUCCCAUCAGCAUUCUACUUGGCUCGAUAGACCCAUUUCACCCCAAUGACCUUCCUAUUGCUUGGUUUUUCAACCAACUCCCAUGUUUGGUUCUUCUCAAUCAUAGCAAUCCCAUCAACCAUUUCUUGUUUCUAGCCUUCAUCUGCUUCAGCCUCUUCAAAGCAGCUUGGUUCUUCUUGUGCGACAUGAGCCCUCUCAUAAAUGUCAGCCAAAGUCUUUGUACCCUUGACUGGUUCAUCAUCAACAUCCAUGUCAGGAUUAUUUUGGUCAGAUUCAAGCUGAUCUGCCAUGAGUUCUUUAGAAAUAGUCUCAGGUUCAUUUGUUUCCCAAUUCCAACAUGUCUUUUCAUCAAAGAUCACAUCUCUGCUUACAUGGACUUUGUUUGUUGAAGGAUCUAAGAUCCUAUAGGCUUUCUUGACCAUGCUGUAUCCCACCAAAAUGCCAGUUUGAGACCUUUUUGAUAGUUUUUUCCCUUUUUACAGCUGGUAUAAGGCUGUAGCAUAGGCAACCAAAGACUUUUAGGUGAGCCAAUGAAGGUUAAAACCCAAACCAGGCUUCAAAUGGAGUCUUAUGUUCAAGUGCUUUGGUUGGUAGCCUAUUCUGAAUGUAAACAGCAGUGUUGACUGCUUUAGCCCACAUUGUCUUGGGCAGAUUCUUCUGAAAUAGGAGACACCUAGCCAUAUCUAUAAGGCUUCUAUUUUUUCUUUCACUCACCCCAUUCUGCUGAGAUGUAUAAACAUUUGUUAGCUAGUGUUUGAUGUCGGCAUCAUUGUACAAAGCUUGGAACUGGGCUGAGGUGUACUCAGUUCCAUUGUCUAACCUAAUGGUCUUCAAUUUGCAGCCUGUUUCUGUUUCAACUAUAGCUUUAAACUUCAAGAAUACUUGAGCUACCUCAGAAUUAUGCUUCAAAAAGUAAAUCCAACAAUAUCUGGUACUAUCAUCAAUGAAAAGAAUGAAGUACCUAUUGCCAUUGAGUGAUUCAGUCCUCAUGGGGUGACACACAUCAGUGUGCACGAGCUCCAAAUUGUUUGAUGCUUUCCAGGCUGUGUUUGCAGGAAAUGAGAGCCUGGCUUGCUUUCCCAACUGACAAACCUCACAAACAUCUUCAUUUAGAACUGAUUUAGUGAAAUUUUCAACCAUUUCCUUGCUGACCAUUCGAGCCAUGGAUUUGAAGUUGGCAUGACCAAGUCUUUGAUGCCAAAGCUUGGUACUUCUGUUGAAGCAAUAUAGGCUGAGUGUGAGUCACUUGGCCAGUUAAUUUCAACGCAUUUAUCACUCAUGGUAACUGUCAUGAAGCUUGAUCCAUUUGGAUCAGUGAUUUUGCACUCCUGGCCCUUAAACACAAUUGAGUAGCCUUUUUCUAGUAGUUGAGCAAUGCUGAGAAGGUUCUUGUUAAUCUCAGGCACCAACAGCACAUUUGUUAUGAUUUUGUCUCCUGUGGAAGUGCAUAUUAGCACAUCUCCCUUUCCUUCAACCUUAAUGAACUGGCCAUUUCCAAUUUUCACUUCAGUUUUGCAAGAUCUGCCCAAGGUUUUGAAAAUGUUUGCAUCUGAUGACAUGUGGUUAGUGCAACCACUGUCCAGCAACCACCCUUUUGAGCCUUUGUUUUGACCAGCUAGACAUGACACAUCAAAAACCUGUUCUUCAUGGUCACUAUUGUCUUCAGCCACUCGAGCUUCAGCAUCUUUAUGCUGUGCUUGAUUUUGGCCAGGUCUGCCUUUUUCUUUGCAGACCCUUUCAACAUGACCCUUCUUUUUGCAAUGUUGACAUACAACAUCUGGUCUGAACCAGCAUUUGGCCUCUAGAUGACCAGGCCUUUUACAAAAUCUGUAGAGUUGGUCUCUUCUUCUUGCAGCAUUAGGCUUAGGCCUGCUUCUCCAGUUUUUCUUGCCUUUAUAGGCUGAGGUGCUCGAGGCUGCUUUGGCCUUGGCUUGAAAAGCACCGCACCUUCCUAGUGCUCCUCCAUUCUGCUGGCUCUUCUUUACUCCUGAGCAUAAAGAGCAUUGAUAAGCUCAGCUAAGGAGAUGCUUGCCAGGUCUCUCGAAUCCUCCAGGGAUGAGAUUUUUGCCUCAUAUCUUUCAGGCAAUGUUGAGAGCACCUUCUCCAUAAUCCUUGCCUCACUGAACUAUUCUCCUAGAAACCUUAUGCUGUUCACAACAGCCAUGAUUCUAUCUAAAUACUGCUUCACUGUUUCCUCUUCUUUCAUCUUUAAAUUUUCAAAGUCUCUCCUCAAGUUCAACAACUGCUGCUGCCUUGUUCUCUCUGUGCCUUGGAACUCCUCAUUAAGCUUGUCCCAGACCUUUUUUGGAGUCUCAUAGGCCAUGAUUCUAGUGAAGAUAACAUCAGACACAUAGUUCUGAAUACUGGACAUGGCUUUAUGCCUCUUGGUCCUCUCAUCUGCAUGCUGCCUAAUUUGAGCCACUGUGGGAUUGGCUCGAAGUGAAGCUGGCUCAACAUCAGUGUUGGCAACUUCCCACAAGUCGAAGGCCUGCAAGUAAGUUCUCAUUUUAACAAUCCAAAUGUGGAAUCCUUCACCAUUAAAAACUGGUGGUGUAGCUGGAGAAAAUCCUGCUGAAGCCAUCAGUUUUAUAGAUAUGCAAUGACAAAUCCUCUAAGACAAAUACUCUUGAUACCAAUUGUUAGGGAUUUGAAACAAAGCUAAGCAAGCAGAGUCAAAAGCUUGUAUAGCAAGCCUCGUGACUUGGUGAAGAAACAAAAGCAGAAAUUUGCUUGAGAACAAGAACUGAAUUGAAAACAAGAGAAAUGGAGCAUGAAAAUGAAUGAAAUCUAAUGAUAUUUUCAUUAACAUGAACAAAGGCAUAAUGCCAAUACAUAAACCAAGCUUUUUCUUGUCAAAAUCAACAUAUGGUCAACUAAUCUACACCAACUACCACUAAUACAUUGGAACUUACAAAACUAAACUUGUACACAUAAGUAAAGCUGGUUAACAGCUCAAUCACAUUAGAAAUACAUCAAACUUCUACCUAAUAUAGUUCAAAAUAAACCAAAAUAAGUUACAUUGACAAAAAUAACAAAAGAAACAACAAAAUAAACUACUGCACUUGGCUCGAUAGCUUCUGGUCUUGGCCUGCUCUGCUUGGUCUGAUGACUGGUGCAUGAGCUACAUGGAGGGCCACAUUCUAACACCUCGAUUCAUAGUACUAUCGGCAGUAAGUUUACCUCCACCUGAAGUUGUUGCUGAUAUGCCCAACUGGAAUGAAAUGACCUGUAACUGCUUAGUCAUUUCCUGAAAAGUCAACUGCGUGGUGGCGUUCCACUGUUCUUGAUUUGCAACGUGAUUUUGCAGCAAAGUGAGGACCUACUCAUGACGGUUUGAUGUAUCCUGAAGUGUUUUAAUGGCUUCAGUAUUGUUUACCAUUUUGGUAUGGUCAAUGAAAGCACCAAAUUGUUGUGUGCUUAAGAAGAAACAGAAAAAUAGGGAAAAUUAGUAGAAUAGUUUUUAAGGAAGAAGAAUAAGUUCAACGAUUUCAUGCCCCUCUCUAUACAAUUAUUGCUAUUUAUCAGGGGAAAAACUGAUAACAAAUUCUAAAAAAGGACAAAGUCCAUUAGUGUACGUGGAGCCUUUCUCUCUCUAGUACCCCUGCGUAAUUCCAGAACCUUCUCAACCUUCUCUGCGUUUUGACUUGAGCUGGUUGCUUGAGCAUCCCCUGCAGCUUGGCUAGAACUGGUCUCUUGGGUGGUAGUUUACAUGGUGUUCUCAACAGAUCAUUGAAAUCGUGUAGGUAGCACUAGGCUUCCUCAUCUCUGUGGGAUUCCUAAACUGUUGUCUUCCCUUCAAUAUAUGGGCAACCAUACCACAAAGGUAAAAGACUAGAAACUUCCUUCAUCAUCUUCAAUCCUUGUUUUGACUAGGUUUUUAGUGGCAUCAAGAACAUUUAAUAGUAUAUUUAGAUUCCACCAAAGAGGCAACCCCUUCGCAAUACCCAGAGGAUGAAAUGAAUUCCAUUCAAGAUCUCCUCUAUUUCAUCUCAAUAAAAAAUACAAUAUUGGGGUUUCAUUUAAAACAAACAUUCAUCAAAGCAUGGACUGUGCUUUGUUGCCCUAGACCUCUACAGUUCCAGAUAGUCACGUUCAUCCCAAACCCAAAGCAAAACAAGAAAGAACCAUGAUCACAUUCAACCAAAUAGAAACCAGACACAGAAGAAAAGUCUUAGCACAACCUAAUUAAUGCUCUCAUUCAUCUAUUUUUCAACAAAAACCCCGUUCAUACAUAAAUUUCAUGCAGUAAAUUGACAAACCAAAUGGAACUAAAAGGGAAAAAAAAGGCAUUAUUUUAAAGCUACGAAAAAGAACAGAGAGUUUAGAAACAUUUCCUUCACCAAACCCUAAUGAUGGUUAUCUGAGUGAAAAACAAAAUUUUAUUAAAAAUAAAUAAGGUUUUGAUUGAAAUAAUAAAAUAAAAAUGUUAAAAAUAAUAAUAUUUUUAGCACAAAUCACAUUAUAUCAUUCUCAAAAUAAUAAAAUAAUUAUAUUUGUACACAAUAUUUUGUGAAAUCAGAAUGAGGAAAAAUAUUUAUUGAGUGUGUGUAAUAUGGAGGCCUUAGUGUUGUCAUUGUGG